ACAACGGUCCUUCUCAGGACCAUCAAAUUUUGAAGGAGAUCUUUU
rfam:Daphnia pulex DAPPTscaffold_3_Cont226, whole genome shotgun sequence.